GCCUGGGUGGCUCACUCGGUUAAAAGCAUCUGACUUCAGCUCAGGUCACCAUCUCGCGGUUCGUGAGUUCGAGCCCCAUGUCAGGCU
rnacentral:tRNA from 1 species